UGGUAUCGUGAACUAUACGAUCCACUGAUACCGGAUGAAUUGUAUGACGAAUGUGUCGCUACUGAAGAUCCGGACGAGGUCAAUGCAAUAAUAAAUAAGCUACCGCGCUUGAACAAAUUGGUACUGACAUUCUAGUUCAUUAUUUGCAACAAUUUUCUCAGCCUGAUAUUGUCGUUGCACAAAAUGGAUUCAUCCAAUUUAGCCAUGGUAUUUGCACCGAAUUGUUUGCGCUGUACAUCUCACGAUCCGAAAGUGAUUUUGGAGAAUGCACGCAAAGAGAUGGCAUUUAUGCGAACACUCAUUACCAAUAUGGACACAUCGAGCGUUUCUAAUUUAGUUUAGGUAGGUUUAGGAAAUGAUUUCAAGAGAACAAAAUAAUAAAAGGGAGGAGAAGAAUGGAUGAAGAAAAAACGAUGAAAAGCGGGAGGUUAUAAUAUGAUACACAGCAGAUACUUAAAGAAAAUAAACAGAAAAAAAACCAUACAAAACAGAGUCAUGAAUUUGAACAACUUAAAUAGACAAAUAAAGUAAAAUAAAUAA